rnacentral:rRNA from 1 species
GUCCGCACGGUAAACGAUGGAUGCCCGCUGUUGACCCACCUGGGCCAGCGGCCAAGCGAAAGCAUUAAGCAUCCCACCUGGGGAGUACGCCGGCAACGGUGAAACUCAAAGGAAUUGACGGGGGCCCGCACAAGCGGAGGAACAUGUGGUUUAAUUCGAUGAUACGCGAGGAACCUUACCCGGGCUUGAAUUGCAGAGGAAUUUAUCAGAGAUGGUAGAGCCCUUCGGGGUCUCUGUGAAGGUGCUGCAUGGUUGUCGU